CUUUAAUUCCAUUUUCAUUAUAAAUUUGUUAGUAAUAUGAAUGAAAAAAUAAUAUUGUCAUUUAUUUUACAUUAAAAUAUAUAUUUUACCGGUUUAUAUUUGUGUUUUCAUAUCAUCUGUAUUAUUUUUAUCUCUUUAAAUUUUUUUUGGAUAAUGGUCUCUUUAACUUUACUAAAAAGAAUAUCAGUAUAAUUAUAUUCUAUCGUUUGGCUCAUUUCACUUGGUGAGAGCUAUCUAAAAUGUGGAAAACAGUGCUUUUCUGGUCCCCCACAUACAUAUUUUUUUGUUAUGCUGGUGUCUGUAAUUGUUAGGGAGUCACUGAAGGUGAAGGGAAAGUGUUCAUUCACAAAUGACCAGGAAUGAGUCUUGAGCUUUGUAAAAUCCCUGUAUUUGAUUACCCUUAAAUGAGAGACUCAUUAUUGAAAUUCUAUGAAGUUUGUUUUUGUUCUUUGAACACAAAAAUUUCCAACCUUUUGUCUUGUUUUUUUUCAUCACAUCUCAAUCAUCCAUGGCAUUGUCUUAAUGCUUUUCUGUUUUCAGUUCCCUAGCACAUUGACAUGCUUACUUGUUAGCUGUAAGUUUGGCUUGGUUUGGUUUUAAGUUUAGUGCUUAAAAGGUUUUGAUGCAGAAAGGUUGGCUCAUCGACCGGAUAGAGUACAUGAGGAUCAGUGGCGGGCCUUGGUCUACUAUUGGGGCACUCAGAGUGCAUCGAAAUCAAGCAAGAAGAAUAGAAAAAUCCGGAAGAAGAAGACACUACAUCAUAGAACUGGCCGAAAGCCUUUCUCAGUAGUUCGAGUGGAGGUAUAAUUAGACAUUACAUCCCAAGAGGUUUACCUUUCAAAGAAAGAGAA